UCCUGCACCAACCGAAAUGCCAUCUCCAGC
rnacentral:piRNA from 1 species